rnacentral:lncRNA from 1 species
AUUUUACAGAAGAGGAAAACUGAGGCUCAGAAGGUUUAAAUAACUUGUUAUGUUUGCACACCUAGUACGUGGCCCAGCUGGCACUAGCAUUCUUGGCAUAACCACCAUGGAGCACUAGUUUUCAGAUGCCACAAGGUUUAGGUAGAGAUGAUCCCUGUCUUUAAGCCAGGUAUUCCAUGGGGCAAAUGAAUUUGUCACGUUAAUAUUUGCAUAAAACAAAGGAUUUUUGCCUUUUAUCCUUGUAUUGCAUCACUAGGCCCCUGUUGGGUAUGUACCAAGUACUCACUAAAUGUUUGCUGAAUAUUAGAGGAGGAGGAGAGGGAGAAAGAGGCAGAGAAUAAGUGCACAAAGAAAUAAAGUCUAAAUUAAAUAGAGAGCUCAGUGAGAAUGACAUGGAGUCAGGUUGCUUCUAGUUUAUCAGAGAAGACUACCUGAGGAAGAUGAUCAACAAUGUGUCUGCAUUCACAGCUAAAUAAGAUGAAAGGGCUAUUGCUUUUUGUUUCCAAAUUCUUUAGCAUCUGACUAGGUGAUUAAGGCUGCUCAGUGAAUAGGUGUUACAGAUACGUGAAGAUUGAAUUCUUUAUUAAUAAGGACCAUUCAUGGAUAGGUUCUUGCUAAUUCAAUAAUGUCAAUUUUAAACAAAAUCACUGAUAUAAAAAGGAAUGGGGAACUGGGUGCAGUGGUGCAUGCAUGUAGUCCCAGAUACUCAGGAGGCUGAGGCAAGAGGAUCACUUGAGGCAAGAGGAUCAAUUUGAGUCCAGCCUGGGCAACAUAAUGAGAUCCCAUCUCUACAAAAUAAAUAAAUAAAUAAGUACAUAAUAAAAAUGAAUGGGGACAGGAGCAUAUAUUUGACAGACAGAAAGAAUAUAGUAUAGCAGAAUAAUUGAUUUGGGCAGUUUGUAAUAUAUUAUCUUUUUUACAUUCAACAGCUAUGGGCCCACCACUAUAUGAUUAUGUGCAAAAUGAGUACACAACAGAAGAGAUUGAGACCUCCUGUGCUCUUUUUCAGCAUAUCUGUGAUAUCUAAUGUCUACUUGCUUAUUCUAUCCUUCUACCCUCUGAAAACGUAUGGAAGAGACAAUACAGUUCAAAAACUCAUAGCAAAUGAAGCAUCCUUAACCUAUAACAAAAUCAUUCAUCAAUCAAUAUUGGAAUGUUCCAGACAUUGCAAAUAA